AAAGGUACUCAAGGGCACUAAAGUGGAUGCCUAGACGUAUAUUACCGAUGAAGGACGUGGAAGACUGCGAUAAUCUUCGGGGAGCUGUCAACAAGCUUCGAUCCGGAGGUCUCCGAAUGGGGAAACCCGCCAUGAGUCAUGUCAUGUGCAUCUCUAUCUGAAUACAUAGGAUAGUUGAAAGGGAACUGCCUGAACUGAAACAUCUUAGUAGGGCAAGGAAAAGAAAGUAAAUAACGAUUCUCGGAGUAGUGGCGAGCGAAACGGGAAGAGCCUAAACCUUAUAAGUUUCUCUAGCAAUAGAGAUAAGGUGAUAGCCGAAUACUUAUGAGGUGUUGUGAGUUUACAAAUGACCAAGUCAGAGAGUUUAAGCUUCGGUUUAAGCAAUCUGAUUUGCGAUUGACACCUAUCAGUGAGCGAAUAAGGUAAAAAAUCGACGUUGCUAGUAGAAGGAACUGGAAAGUUCCGCGAUACAGCGUGAUAGCCGCGUAUACGAAAGCGACGUUGACCUUAUAUUUGUUUUCUCGAGUAGGCCGGGACACGAGAAAUCCUGGUUGAAUCCGGCAGGACCACCUGCCAAGGCUAAAAAUAAUAUACGAUCGAUAGUGAACAAGUACAGUGAUGGAAAGGUGAAAAGAACCCCGGGAGGGGAGUGAAAUAGAUCCUGAAACUUAGUGCCUACAAGGAGUCGGAGCCGGCUUGUCCGGUGACGGCGUGCUUUUUGUAGAACGAUCCAGCGAGUUACUUUUGUCAGCAAGGUUAAGUCAAAUGACGGAGCCAUAGUGAAAGCGAGCCUGAAUAGGGCGAUUUUAGUUGACAGGAGUAGACCCGAAACCGGGUGACCUAACCAUGGGCAGGUUGAAGCUACUGUAACAGGUAGUGAAGGACCGAACCAGGGACAGUUUCAAAUGUCUUGGAUGACCUGUGGUUAGAGGUGAAAUGCCAAUCGAACUCGGAGAUAGCUGGUUCUCCUCGAAAUAGCUUUAGGGCUAGCGUCGUGUAGUAGCAUACGGGGGUAGAGCUCUGUAAAGGACUGGGGGGAGCAAUCCUACUCACCCUUAACAAACUACGAAUACCGUAUGUGUAAUCACGGCAGUUAGAACGUCGGGGCUAAGCUCGACGCUCGAAAGGGAAACAGCCCAGACCAUCGUCUAAGGUCCCUAAAUAUAUACUCAGUGGGAAACAAGGUGAGAUUUCUUAAACAGCUAGGAUGUUGGCUUAGAAGCAGCCAUUCAUUUAAAGAGUGCGUAACAGCUCACUAGUCAAGAG
rnacentral:rRNA from 1 species